rnacentral:RNase_P_RNA from 1 species
UAAGCGCAACAGCGCCGGUAAGGGCGAAAAGGUGCGGUAAGAGCGCACCGCACGGCUGGCAACAGUGCGUGGCUAGGUAAACCCCACUCGGAGCAAGACCAAAUAGGAAUCCAUUGGCGCGUCCCGCGUUGGAUUCGGGUAGGUCGCUUGAGGCGUACAGUGAUGUGCGUCCCAGAGGAAUGGCUGUCCUCGACAGAACCCGGCUUAUAGAUCGACUCUCACA